rnacentral:rRNA from 1 species
GACGUAGGGCGCGAGCGUUGUCCGGAUUUAUUGGGCGUAAAGAGCUCGUAGGCGGCUUGUCGCGUCGACUGUGAAAACCCGUGGCUCAACCAUGUGGUCUGCAAUCGAUACGGGCAGGCUAGAAUUCGGUAGGGGAGACUGGAAUUCCUGGUGUAGCGGUGAAAUGCGCAGAUAUCAGGAGGAACACCGGUGGCGAAGGCGGGUCUCUGGGCCGAUAUUGACGCUGAGGAGCGAAAGCGUGGGGAGCGAACAGG